rnacentral:pre_miRNA from 1 species
UGUGUACUCCCUCCGUUCCAAAAUACUUGACUUCCAUUUGUCCAAAAAUGGAUGUACCUAUAUACUAAAACAUGUCUAGAUACAUAUAUAUAUUUUGACAAAUAGAAGGCAUGUAUUGUGCAACGGAGGGAGUAGAAU